rnacentral:rRNA from 1 species
CUACGGAGGAUCCGAGCGUUAUCCGGAUUUAUUGGGUUUAAAGGGUGCGCAGGCGGCCAUUUAAGUCAGCGGUUAAAUCGUGGGGCUCAACCCCAUUCUGCCGUUGAUACUGGGUGGCUUGAUUGCGGUCGAGGUUGGCGGAAUUCGUUGUGUAGCGGUGAAAUGCAUAGAUAUGACGAAGAACACCGGUUGCGUAGGCAGCAGACCAGCACGCAAAUGACGCUCAUGCACGAAAGUGCGGGGAUCGAACAGGAUUAGAUACCCUGGUAGUCCGCACAGUAAACGAUGAAUACUUGUUUUCGGCGAUAUAAUGUCGGAGGUAAAGCGAAAGCGAUAAGUAUUCCACCUGGGGAGUACGCCGGCACCGGUGAAACUCAAAGGAAGUGACGGGG